UUCUGACGGUACCCAAAGAAUAAGCACCGGCUAACUACGUGCCAUCAGCCGCGGUAAUACGAAGGGUGCAAGCGUUACUCGGAAUUACUGGGCGUAAAGCGUGCGUAGGCGGUUGUUUAAGUCUGGUGUGAAAUCCCCGGGCUCAACCUGGGAAUUGCAGUGGAUACUGGGGGACUAGAGUGUGGUAGAGGGGAGUGGAAUUCCUGGUGUAGCAGUGAAAUGCGUAGAGAUCUGGAGGAACCCCAUGGCGAAGGCAGCCCCCUGGACCAACACUGACACUCAUGCACGAAAGCGUGGGGAGCAAACAGGAUUAAAUACCCUGGUAGUCCACGCCCUAAACGAUGCGAACUGUAUGU
rnacentral:rRNA from 1 species